GAUGAACGCUGGCGGCGUGCCUAAUACAUGCAAGUCGAGCGAACAGACGAGGAGCUUGCUCCUCUGACGUUAGCGGCGGACGGGUGAGUAACACGUGGAUAACCUACCUAUAAGACUGGGAUAACUUCGGGAAACCGGAGCUAAUACCGGAUAAUAUAUUGAACCGCAUGGUUCAAUAGUGAAAGACGGUUUUGCUGUCACUUAUAGAUGGAUCCGCGCCGCAUUAGCUAGUUGGUAAGGUAACGGCUUACCAAGGCAACGAUGCGUAGCCGACCUGAGAGGGGUGAUCGGCCACCCUGGACCUGAGAACGGGCCCAGACCCCUACGGGAGGCAGCAGUAGGGAAUUUUCCGAAAGGGGCGAAAGCCUGACGGAGCAACCCCGCGGGGGGGAGGAAGGUUUUCGGAUCGUAAAACUCUUUUAUUAGGGAAAAAAAAAUGUGUAAGUAACUAUGCCCGUUUGGGCGGUACCUAACCAGAAAGCCCCGGCUAACUACGG
rnacentral:rRNA from 1 species